rnacentral:rRNA from 1 species
UGGCGGCGUGCUUAACACAUGCAAGUCGAACGGACCUCUUUAUUGGAAGUCUCGGAUGGAAGAUACUGGAGGUUAGUGGCGGACGGGUGAGUAACGCGUGGGUAACCUGCCCCUUACAUGGGGACAACAGCUGGAAACGGCUGCUAAUACCGAAUGUGCUCACGGGAAGGCAUCUUCCUGUGAGGAAAGGUGGCCUCUGAAUAUGCUACCGGUAAGGGAUGGACCCGCGUCUGAUUAGAUAGUUGGUGAGGUAACGGCUCACCAAGUCGACGAUCAGUAGCCGGACUGAGAGGUUGAACGGCCACAUUGGGACUGAGACACGGCCCAGACUCCUACGGGAGGCAGCAGUGGGGGAUAUUGCACAAUGGAGGAAACUCUGAUGCAGCAACGCCGCGUGAGGGAAGAAGGUUUUCGGAUUGUAAACCUCUGUUUUUAGUGAAGAAACAAAUGACGGUAGCUAAAGAGGAAGCCACGGCUAACUACGUG